ACCAUGCGGCAUUGACAAUCUGAGUGCUUCAUUUUAUACACGUAUACUUUCACAGACAUAAGAGCACGUUGUGUAUCAAAAAAUUGUGAAAUGGAGGCUCGUUGUACGUUGUGUACC
rnacentral:pre_miRNA from 1 species